rnacentral:misc_RNA from 1 species
GGAACAACAGCCUCUUAACUAUGUCCACGAGACGGUACUGAAGAAGAGGAAAAACAAUGAUGAGUGGGCCCUGAAGAGGAGGGAGAGGUUGGAUGCUCAGAAGCAGAAGACGAAAGAUAAGAAGAAAGCUGCGAUCAAAAGGCCCGAGCAGUUUGUCAAAGAAUUUCGUGACAAAGAAUUAGACUUCAUUCGGAUGAAGAAAAGGCUAAAACUAAGAAAGACUUCACAUUAUGACCUCAAGUCAAAGCUGCUCUUUGUUAUUCGCAUUCACGGCUCGCAAGACAUGCAUCCGAGGUCUAGAAAAAUCCUGAAUUCAUUGAGGUUGAGACAAAACCUCACCGGCGUGUUCGUCAAGGUUAAUGAAGCAACUUUGAAAAUGCUACUCGCUGUCGAACCAUUCAUCACUUAUGGCUAUCCUAGUUUGAAGAGCAUAAGGGAUUUGGUUUUUAAGAAAGGCUGUGGGAAGAUAGAGAGGCAAAGGGUUCCUCUCACAGACAACAAUCUCAUUGAACAGGAACUUGGGAAGCAUGGAGUUAUCUGCAUUGAAGACAUUGUCCAUGAAGUUGCGACAUUGGGUCCCCAUUUUAAAGAAGUGAACAGCUUCUUAUGGCCUUUCAAGCUAAAGAUGCCAGAGAGACGGCUGCAGAUGAAUAAGAAACAAUUCAAAGAUGGUGGCCAUGUUGGGAAUCGUGAAGAUAAAAUCAACGAGCUUAUCGAUAAGUUGAACUAGGAUGUGGACAUAACUUUUGUG